rnacentral:rRNA from 1 species
AAUGGGCGAAAGCCUGAUGCAGCGACGCCGCGUGAGGGAUGAAGGCCUUCGGGUUGUAAACCUCUUUCAGCAGGGAAGAAGCGAGAGUGACGGUACCUGCAGAAGAAGCACCGGCUAACUACGUGCCAGCAGCCGCGGUAAUACGUAGGGUGCGAGCGUUGUCCGGAAUUAUUGGGCGUAAAGAGCUUGUAGGCGGUUUGUCGCGUCUGCUGUGAAAAUCUGGGGCUUAACUCCGGACGUGCAGUGGGUACGGGCAGGCUAGAGUGUGGUAGGGGAGACUGGAAUUCCUGGUGUAGCGGUGAAAUGCGCAGAUAUCAGGAGGAACACCGAUGGCGAAGGCAGGUCUCUGGGCCAUAACUGACGCUGAGAAGCGAAAGCAUGGGUAGCGAA